rnacentral:rRNA from 1 species
GACAGAGGUGCCAAGCGUUAGGCGGAAUCACUGGGCUUAAAGCGUGUGUAGGCGGACUUGUAAGUACCUUGUGAAAUCCCACGGCUCAACCGUGGAACUGCUUGGUAUACUGCUUGUCUUGAGCCACUUAGGGGCUACCGGAACAAAUGGUGGAGCGGUGAAAUGCGCAGAUAUCAGGAGGAACACCAAUUGCGAAGGCAGCUCGCUGGGACGUAACUGACGCUGAGACGCGAAAGCGUGGGGAGCAAACAGG